GCGAGCGGUUGUGGUGGGAGUUGAAGGGGUGCGCUACUCCAGUGACAAAGCCAAGAAAGCGAGCGAGGAUAACGGCGCAGGUCCGAGCACAAUUUUGUGUCACAUCGACUAACUGGUCGUUUAACCAUUUAACGCCCUGGUCAUUUUGCUUAAGCAUCUUACACCGAAGAACUCCCGAGUUUAUCAGAAUGCAACUUAGCCUGGUCUCAAAGUUAACAGCGCCCAGUCUUUAUUCAAGAGAUACCACAAUGAUUGGUUUGAGUUGAGGAGUUUCUGGCCCUGUUGCGUUGUCCAUUGAGAGA